rnacentral:rRNA from 1 species
GNCUCGAAGAUUAAGCCAUGCAUGUCUAAGUACACGCCCUAGCAAGGCGAAACCGCGAAUGGCUCAUUAAAUCAGUUAUGGUUCCUUAGAUCGUACAUGAUUACUUGGAUAACUGUGGUAAUUCUAGAGCUAAUACAUGCAGCUGAGCCCUCGACCUUCUUGGGAGAGGGUGCUUUUAUUAGACCAAGACCAGACGGGUUUCGGCCCGAUAGUCGUGGUGACUCUGGAUAACUAUGGCGGAUCGCACGGUCCCAGCACCGGCGACGCAUCUUUCAAGUGUCUGCCUUAUCAACUUUCGAUGGUAGGUUAUGCGCCUACCAUGGUUGUUACGGGUAACGGGGAAUCAGGGUUCGAUUCCGGAGAGGGAGCCUGAGAAACGGCUACCACAUCCAAGGAAGGCAGCAGGCGCGCAAAUUACCCACUCCCGGCACGGGGAGGUAGUGACGAAAAAUAACAAUACGGGACUCUAUCGAGGCCCCGUAAUUGGAAUGAGUACACUCUAAACCUUUUAACGAGGAUCUAUUGGAGGGCAAGUCUGGUGCCAGCMGCYGCGGUAAYUCCAGCUCCAAUAGCGUAUAUUAAAGUUGUUGCGGUUAAAAAGCUCGUAGUUGGAUCUCAGUCGUGCCCUYGUCGAUACGCCGCAAGGCGUGCUUCGGCAGGGCCGGCAGCACGUCGGUCGUCUCGAUUGGCCUUAAAAAGCUGACCGGGUUGUCCGACACCUUUACUUUGAAAAAAUUAGAGUGCUCAAAGCAGGCCGACGCCUGUAUACUGGUGCAUGGAAUAAUGGAAUAGGACCUCGGUUCUAUUUUGUUGGUUUUUGGAUCCCGAGGUAAUGAUUAAGAGGGACAGACGGGGGCAUUCGUAUUGCGGCGCUAGAGGUGAAAUUCUUGGACCGCUGCAAGACGAACUACUGCGAAAGCAUUUGCCAAGAAUGUUUUCAUUAAUCAAGAACGAAAGUUAGAGGUUCGAAGGCGAUCAAAUACCGCCCUARUUCUAACCAUAAACGA